ACUAGGAUUAUCGUCGGUCCCACCUGACCCCAUGCCGAACUCAGAAGUGAAACGCCGUAGCGCCGAUGGUAGUGUGGGGUCUCCCCAUGUGAGAGUAGGGAACUGCCAGAC
rnacentral:rRNA from 1 species